UGGAAAAACCCUUGUGUGAAGAGUGCUGGGGACUGAUUUUUAUAAAGCCCUCUCCUGACCCGGACCAGUUCCAUUCCUCCUACUGGAGCUUCGCAGAGCCCUGAUGGGGUACAGUUCCUGGCGUUGUGCAGCGGCGAAACUGACUCUUAGAAAGGUUGAGGAACUUGCCCAGGGUCACACAGCUGGGGAGUGGUCGAGCUAGGAUUUUAACCCAAGUCGUCCGGCCUCCAAAAGCCAGAUUCUCUUCGACAUUAGCGCCGCACCCCCAGGGCGGAGGACUGCGUUCCCUAACACCUCAGACACAACUAAGGUGCCUUGGGUGUGAUUGAAAGACGCGAACGCGGGCCACCCAUCUCUGGCUGAUGGGUGGCUGCGCCUGCAGCCCCCGCAGAGGCUGAGCGUCGGCGGGAGCCGCUCGGGCUGUUACCGUAAGUCUCAGAGGAGCGGGGCACAACGGGAAAGGUAACGAAGAGCAGGACGGGCCGGAGGGCGCCGCGACGUGGAGAGACUGCGUUCCCGGCUCGGAAGCCUGACCUUGAAGGAGUGAGGGUGCGCACGCGCCCGAGGCAAGUCAGCCUUACUGUUCUUGGAAAGAAUUAGAAGAGGAAAGAAAGGUCACCGCUUUAAAAAUAGGCAUGGAAAGAGCCAAAGGAACCCGGAUCCAGGAUGUAACUCUGCCCUGGUCUUCGGCCCUGAGGAAGGGGUCUGUACUUUCACAAGCGGCAACAGCCAGGCGAUGAUUUUCAUCUUAAAUACAGCCCAUCAGCAACUGAAGAACCACAUGACCUCCAAAAAUUGACCAGUCUUCUUUGGAUUCCUUCCUUCCAUCACAGCCCUCAUUUUUCCCCCCGCAUAGGCAGCGGAAAAAAGGAAAAGCUCAUGUGCUCAGUCUCUAAGGAAUUUGUUUUACCUGCGCAGUGAUAACAUCUCGGUGAGAUAUUGUGGAGGGGUUGUGAAGAAGGCAAACGAGAAGUUUCCCGGGAGAUAGAAUGGCGACGAACAAGCCUUUCUCAGAAGACCAGUUGCAAAAAACAGCCAACUCUUCUGAUUCUAUUCUGUUCUCAAUUUGCUGUGAGACUUUGAGUGAGCUAUUAAACAUCUUGGACCUUAUUAAAAGGGGGUGGUAAUUUCACGUAGAGUGGGUGUUGCUAAGCCUUCUUGAUUUUGAAUCCAAACUCAGCCUCUCUCACCAAAAAAAAAAAAAAAAAAAAAAAAAAGUGUAGCUUUUGUAAGCUGUUCACUUACUGCUGGGGAGGUAAAGGGAUAUGUCUGAAGAGCUAUUGCAGUUAUAGAUAGAUAUUCCAUAUGCCAACUUAACAUAAAUGCCUCAAACUUUUAUUUCCUUGAUGGAGAAACAUCAGGAUCUCUGGCCUGUUUUACAUGCUUUAGCCUUGGGUGGGAAAUGCCCCGAAGUAAAAUAAGAGGCUAUUUCAGAAGUAUUCCUCCUUUCCCACACCACUUAUUAUCUCUAACAACUCAUUUUCCAUCCACCGUGUUUCCCUGUACUGGUUUUAUGGUAGGGGAGUCUCCACCACUGUGGGCCCUCUGCUAGUCUAGCCAAUUCUUUCUGGCUCCCCAGUGAAACAUGGAGGACAAAGCUCAACAUGAUGACAGGACUGGCCAUGUGAUGUGGCUGUUACUUUUCUGGUUUCCAUCUACCCUGCAGGUGGCAAGUUUGAAGGUUUGGGGAAAUUCCCUGACGGCUGAGAUGCGCCAAUUUCCAAUGGGACCAGAUUAGCACAUUCAACUAUAAUUGCCAUCGUACUGACAAGGUCAAUUUUCAGGCUGUGCAUGAGGAUGAGAACAGCUACCCACAGGUCUGUAAAGUUUCAUACACAAGAACCCAGCACCUGAAAACUGAAACUAAGAUGCAUGCCAGCCCCUAUGGAUUACUCUCUCCAUUCCAUAGGUAUAGAUGGAGGCAAGAGAUGUUUGGCUGGUCUGACCAAUGACCACUAGGUCGAAAGCCCAAGAGCCCAGCCCCCUCACCUAUUCCAGCCAAGCCCAGAGGACCUGAUGCUCUGUCAAGUUCAAAGAAAGAAGCCAGUGGUCUGUAUAAUCCAGAGUUCUGUUUGUCCAAAAGAACUUUGAAGACGGAAAAACAAACAAAAAAACAGACAAAACCUCUUCGGAGGCAAUUUUGCCAUUUAUGAAUUUACAGGUGUUAUUUCGUUUGUCCCCUCAGUCUCCCGUUUGGAAUUUUUUCCUACGCGAUGCAUUAAAAAAAUGUUUACUACGUCAUUUUUGUGAUGAUGAAAAAGUGGGAACAACCCAACUGUUCAUCAAUAUAUAGAGAUAAAAUGGUUGAAUAUAUAGUGCGUUUACAUACCCAGAAAUACUCUAUAGAAGAGAUCUGUGUUCACAGGCAAAUGAGUCUAAGCUUAUGUUAAAUGAAAAAAAGUAAGUUAUGAAAGUAAAUGUGCUAUGAUUCCACAUUCAUUAAAAUGCAGAAAGAGAUUGUAA